GUACAUUGAGUAAGUUAUGUAUUUAAUACAUGUACUUUAAUUUGAUCAAUUUUAGUCCCUAUAUAUUUCGUAUUUUGAAAUUUUAGUCCUAACCCAAUAGUUGCAGUUAAAUCUAUUUGGUUAAAUUAUGUCAUUUAGUCCCGUAUUAUGCGUGAAGCUAUAUUUUUUGAAUUUCAAAAUUUCAGUCUUAAUACAAACGAUAAUCGCUGUAAUGGCCCAAAUUUGCCCGGCCCAAAUCAGAAAUAAAUACACAAAAAAUAUAAACCAAUAAAAAACAGCCCAUUUUAAAUGUCCAUUUACACUGGGCUCAAUAUGACCCAAACUAAACACAACCCACUAAACCCAGAUUACAGACCCAAUUAAACUUAUGGCCCAAAACCCGACUUAGCCCAAAUGGCCCAACACCAGAAAAAUCACAAACAGAAACCUUAAGGUUUCUGGAAACUAAGCCGCCGCCACAGCAACUUAGCGACGUGCCGCCUUCGGCCUUCCUCUCCACGCGCGCCAUGCCAACACCUUUGUACGUGCCACGUCCCCGAUCUUGUACGCCGUACCUGCGCAGCACACAAACAAACAGCAAAAGAAAAGCAGAGAAAAACAAAAAACAAAAAAACAAAUUUGUAUUUGUUUGAUUUUAUCUUUUUCUUUUUGUUUUCGGGUUAUAAAAACCCAAAGAUGUACUCAAAGUAAAAACUCUCACGCAUACUGUAUCAAAAACACGCACACUGAAAUACAAAAAAAUCAAAAAAGAGAGAAAAAAUCAGAUUUGAAAAGGUGAUUCACCAUUUUCUUUUUUUCCUUGCGUUUCUUUAUUGUUUUCUUUUAUUUUUUUAACGAAAGAGAGAAAAGAAAAAGGAAAUUUACCUUUGUUGGAGGCUGUGGACGUCUCUUUCCGCUCCGAUUUGAGUCGGGGAGGAAUAGGAAGGGGAUUGGAGUCUGAAACGGCGCUCAGAGGGGAGGAGAAUAGUUUUUUUAGGGUUUGAUGUAUGAAUAAUAAGAGGCUGUUAAUUUUAGGUUUAUUUUAACUUAUGAAUGGUGAAGGAAAUGGCACCGUUUUAAGCAUGUUUCAGUAGCUUUAAAAACGACGUCGUUUAAGGCCAAGAUCCGCACGGUGACCCGACCCGGGGUAGGAUCCGCGCAAUUUUUAUGAAAGGUCUAUUUGCGUAACGAGUCCUUCUGUAUUCUAUGUUUUUUCAAUUUGAUUUUCUUCAGUUUUUUACAUUAUACCAUAUAUUUGAUCCUGUUUUUAUUUUGAUCCUCAAUCAAACGGCACUGUUCUUACUGAUCGGUUUUGAACAACCGAAUAUUUGCGUUUAAUUUCCGUUUUGGUCCUUCAGAUUUGAAUCGAUUAAUAAUUUAGUUCGUUUUUCUUUUAAUUCUAGUUGCAAUUUAAUUUUUAUUUAUUUAUUGUUAAAUAUAUUUAAUUAUUAUUUUGACAUUGUUAUUUCUAACAUUAUUUUAAUAUUUAAGUUUGAUAUUGUUUUUAAACUUAUUAUUAGUAUAAAUUUAAAAUAUAAUAUACUAUUAUUUUAAAUUGUUAUUAAUAUUAUUAUUUAUUUCAUCAUUAAUUGUUUUAUAUGUUUUAUUAAAACUUAAUGUAAUUUGAACAAGUUUUUGAUGUUUUAUUUUAUAUUGUUUUUUUAAUUUUCCCUUUUAUAUAUUCCUAUAUGGUAAAUAUUUACAUAAUAAUAUUUGUUAUAAUACUAUUAUUCAUA
rnacentral:lncRNA from 1 species